GUCCAUGGUAGCCUAGUGGAAAUGACAUCUGCCCGGUAAGCAGAACACUGUGGGUUCCCAUCCCUGGACA
rnacentral:tRNA from 1 species